CCAUCCGAGCUUCUACAGUAAGCGGCCUUCUUCCAGACUCCUACAAGAACCAGACUCCGUUUGAAGUUCUACAGCGGUUGGAUUCCAGACAAACUUCUACAACGGACAGACUCCAGUAGCUGGAUUUCUACAGUGACCGACUGUCUUCGAUGUCUUUCGUACCUCUCCAGCCACCAACCUUCAACAGCACCAGCCGACCUUCCACAGUGUCCUCCAAACUCUUCCAGCGGAUGACUUCCGUCUGCAGCAUCGACGCCUAAGGCACCCAAUAAUAGUUAACCCAUCAGCAACCUCAAAAAUAUCCAAGCUUCUCUUAGAUUGCUGAGAUAGAGAGAUAUUCCUCUCCACCAGAUGUCCCAAUCGAGCUCCAGUCAUCCAGCCCGAACUCCCNNNN
rnacentral:lncRNA from 1 species